CGGUAUGCAAUUUCCCAUUAAACAAUCUCUUGUCCUUCUAAUCGAAGUCGUAGUUUCUCGUAGUCGUUGUUUGAAGACGAAGCCGUCGCUCGUCGCAGCCGCCGUCGAGGGUACUGAGAAGAAGCACGCGAGAUAGGUUGAAUCUUGAUGAAGAGGUCCGGGAUUGCACGUCUGGAAUCUUUGUAGCUGAUUAAUGUGAUGAUAGGAUGUUUGAGAAAGACCAUCGCUCAUCAUCCAAAGAAAUCGGCACGAAAAAACCAUGGGAGGAGGAAGGCUAGAACUGUACAUGUUAAUAGGAAAUUACAGAAGCGCUGCCCCCAGCAACAGGAUAAUGAAACCUCAUUGUCCAAGGACACUGUCGACACUGUUGAGCUUGCUACCAAUCUCCUCUCAUUCCGAUGUAUUGCAAAAUGGCUACUCCUGUUUCUCCUCACAUUUGUUGCAGUCUGACCACAAAUCUCACAUUGUCUACCAUUAGAAAGGGAUGAUACAGAAUUGGAGUUAUAUUAAGAGCACCAUAUCUGUUAUUGGAAACUGUGAAGAGAGGAGAGGAUGAAGAUCGUCAUAGGAAUUUUACCUGUUGCCUCGAUGCAUAAACCAAAUCUCGGCGCAGUCACGAUGUGAUAUUCCAAGCUCAUCUUUGCAGCUACACCCGAGGUGUAUGAGUUCUGAAGUUAUCGACUCGUUUUCGGAGCCCAAAUGACAUAUCCUGCAAACCUUUUCUUCACUAGAAUCUUCAUCAUCCACUGACUCUCCAUUGGUUUUUAUAUCAAUGAUGCAGUUUUGAUGACUCUCUGGCUGUGAGCUGGUCUCUAGCAUCUCCACUCCAUGCCUCUUUCUAUUCUCCUCAUUCUCACGCACACAGGUCCCACCUUCCCCUCCAAUUACCCCUUUCGCUUCACGAGGUCUCGACGGCGAUGCAACAAUUGUCUUAGGUUCAUCUGGGCUUGUUAUCCCACUUGAUCCUUCAUUUUGUUCAAUCAUAUCGAUGUUUGGUCUCCACGAACAAGUUUACAUAUCAUGGAAUUUGCCAAGGUAAUUGAAUAGUGAGAAGGAAGCUGGGAGUCCUAAGGUAAUUGAACUGCUGCUUCAAAUAAUCUUGAGAUCGGUUAGAUGAAACGAGUAUGGAACAAAUGAUAGAAGAGUUUAAAAGAUUAAAAGGGAGAGAAUCAGAUUGUUGCCUUUCUUUAGGAUGAAGCAAGGGAGACUGACAACUACACGGAAUUUCAACUUACUGUCUGAAAUAAGCUUUUCCCACUUGUUGUUUGUAUAGACAAGACAAGAAUUUGCGAGAGGAAGGGGUAUUAUCCAGUGUGGCACACCCCCAUCACAAGCCCCUCCUCCUUGUAGCGAAAGUGACACUUUCAUGUAAACCCAGAGAAGAAAGCAAAGGGAAGUAGCAGAAAAUAUCAAUUGUUACUGUCUUAUAAGCAAUCGAAGCUACCAGAUUUGUAAGCUUUUCUAACUCUUAUUGAUACUAUCAUAUUACUGCUUUUAAAAGUACUAUGAUUAGAGCUUUUUA